CCAGGACAGGCUGGGCUCCCAAAAUCCUUCCUAAAAAGGAAUCAGGCUGUGGUGGCCCACACUAUUUUUAGAUAAUUGUGUUGAAAAAUCCCAAGGCACAUGUAGCAUCAUGCAUUUUUUUAUUCAGGAAGAAAAAAGAAAGGGACCUCCCCACUCUUCUCCCCACAGCCACCGCCUGCCCAAAACAGGUCAUGCCCCUGGAGUGGCCUCGCACCGUCCAUCCCCGGAGGGGCAGUAGCCUGGGCCCUGCAGCUGCCCAGCCCUGGGGGUUAGGGCCUUGGGGUUUCUGGCUAGAAACAGGGCUCACCUCGGUCUCCUCCUAAGCCUGGAGCUCUCAGGUGGUGCAAGGCACACGGGGAUCCCCCACAUUGCAGGUGGGGAGACUGAGGCCAGGCUGUACUCAUCUCCAUUACGAGGCCUUUUUUUUUAAAAAAAAAAAACAAACAAAAAAACAAAAAACAGCCUUAUGAAGAUGUGAUUGGCACGUAGUAAAGCGCAAGCAUUUAAAGUAUACAGUUCAAUAUGUCUUGACAUUUGUAUCUAUCCAUGAAGCCAUCGCCACUAUUAAGAGAGGGAUCAUAUCCAUCACCCUCAAAAUGUCUUUAUCAUCUUUGAAACCCCUCCCUCUGGCCCCCCCUCCACCCCCAAGUCUCCUUGCCCCAGGCGCAAUCACGGGUCUGCUUUCCCUCACUCUAGAUUAGUCCACAUUUUCUAGAGUUUUCUAUAAAUGGAAUCACACAGCACGUUCUUUUUUGACUGGCUCCUUCAACUCGUCACCACUACCUGGAGAUUCACCCAUGUUGCUGCAGGCACCAAGCCCCUCAUAUGGACAGAUCACAAUUCGCUUCUCCUUUGAUCUGUUGGUGGACAUUUGGAUUGUGAUCAGUUUUUGGCUAUUACAAAUAAAGCUGCUAUAAACAUUUGCGGAGAAGUCUUUGUAUUUGAGGGGACUGCAGGGAGGCCGGGCUGAGUCAGCGCCACUGCCGCUGCUGCGUGUAAUCCCAGCACUUUGGGAGGCCGAGGUGGGCGGAUCACGAGGUCAGGAGAUCAAGACCAUCCUGGCCAACACGGCGAAACCCCGUCUCUACUAAAAAUGCAAAAAAUUAGC
rnacentral:lncRNA from 1 species